rnacentral:tRNA from 1 species
GCUAUCUUAGCUCAGUUGGUAGAGCACUACGUUGGUAAUGUAGAGGUCGCAGGUUCAAAUCCCGUCGAUAGCUCCA